UUGAUAAGUUUUGAGCCUAGAUGAUUUAGGUAUGCAUUGGUAUGAAUUUUGGGGUAUUUGGAGCUUCGGAAAUGGUCCAGAAGCAUCAAAAAACGCUGCCCCCAAAGUGCGCACGACGUGCUGCACUUCAGCACGUCGUGCUGGUGCGCGACGUGCACCAGAAGGGUGCACGACGUGCACCACAAGGGUGCACGACGUGCACCAGUGAAGGGCACGUCGUGCCCUUCAUGAAAAAUGAAGGGCACGAGGUGCCAAGCUAGCACGACGUGCCCUACUUCGAUCGUGACCUCCGGGGGACUUCCGGGAGCGAAAAUUGGCCUCUGAUGGCAUGAUAUGGGCGUAGAACUCUGACAAAUGUCUUAAAAUGAAUAUUAAUAAGACAUUAUAGCAAUGAACAUUAACAUGAUGAGUAAUAGAGAUAUGAAUAGAGAUCUAUAGAGAAAGAUACGUUUAGAACACGACGAUUAUAUUUCGUGCUUUUGUCGUGUUAGGUACCUAGUGCAGUUUUUAAGAACAAGAUUCUCUAAGUAUAUAUUUUAACGAUAGAAUCCUGUGAUAGAUGUGACGGACUAUCGAUCUACGAGUAUGACGAACCAAGAAGCUCGACGAGGAUUGACGGACCAGUCUCCUGGAGCUUACGUUUGGAUAUAAGGAAUAGCGAUCGUUGUGUUUAGAGUCGGAUCAGACAGACCGUCUUUGGUGUGCUGAGUACGAGUCCCCUUGGUGCUGCAGUAGUAUACGUAUGACGAGUCUUAGCAUAGAAUAGUCAGGUCUUAUAGGUUGUGUACAUAUUUAAUGUUUGUUUGAUGUGACGUCUUUUGGUUGUCAGUUUUGUAUUGAUCGAUAGACGGGCUAGUACGUACAAGUUACGGAAGUGAGAUGCCCACUAUGGUUGUAUCGAUGAUGUGAUAUAUAUGAUGUACGUUAUGAUUGUAAA